rnacentral:rRNA from 1 species
UACGUAGGGUGCGAGCGUUGUCCGGAAUUACUGGGCGUAAAGAGCUCGUAGGUGGUUUGUCGCGUUGUUCGUGAAAACUCACAGCUUAACUGUGGGCGUGCGGGCGAUACGGGCAGACUGGAGUACUGCAGGGGAGACUGGAAUUCCUGGUGUAGCGGUGAAAUGCGCAGAUAUCAGGAGGAACACCGGUGGCGAAGGCGGGUCUCUGGGCCGAUGACUGACGCUGAGGAGCGAAAGCGUGGGGAGCGAACAGG